rnacentral:lncRNA from 1 species
GUUUUGAGUCUGACUCAAAUUCACACCUCACAACGCAACCAAGAACUCCUUCAAAAACUUGUCAAGGCAUGCAUCUUGUUGAAACUUCUAUUAAGCGCUUUCGAUCUAUCUUCAUAGAUCUUUGAUGCUCAACCUUCAAGUAGAGCAAUCCAGGUAUUCCUUUGAAAACUCCUUUCAAACAACCUUGUAUGCUUUACAGAAAUUCUACAUUACUUCUGAUGCACAAUAUGUCAACCACAUAUACUUAUCAGAAAUUCUAUAG